GAAUGUAGCGCCCCCCACCCCUCCAACCCCCCGACGUCACGUCUGGAGGCUGGCUGCUCGCGCUGAGCUCACUCUGAGCUCACUCUGUUCACCUCCAACAGAGAAACUUUCCUGGAGUUCUCAGGCUAUUCUGACUGCGGACCAAGUCCAAUCCUGCUCAGAGAAAGACGCAGCAGUUCGGAGGGCCUCCAUGGUGUAGGAAGGAAGAAAGCGGAGCUACAUUCACUUCUACACCCGAGGGACGUUUACAUGCCCAUUAUUUAUAAUUUUCUCAAAGUUUCAAAGUAAAAACAACGUUUUUUCUUCGGUAGCAUUAGCUUAUUUAGUGUUUUAACAUACCGUGCUGGAGGUCGGCAACGUUACCUACAGGGACAUGCUCAGGAAUACAAUCGUUUUCCUUGCUUGUAAGAAGUGAAAGGAGUGUUUUUACGGAGCCGAAAGUAACCUGGACCUUUUUUCCCUCAAGUUUUUAUUUUUCAUUUGACUUGAUAUUCGGUGUGGAUAUGGCUCGGAUAAGAUGGGGCCUCUUAUUUUUGUUCGGCUUCUUUCUCGCCCCUGUAUGUGUGUCAGCGGAGCAGCAGCAGAGCCGGGGCGGCUUCAGGAGGCUGUACGUGCUCCAGCCCGGCCCGGGGUCGGCCGGAGCGAACGGCGGGGUGCGAGUCAGCUCCAUCGCGACGCGUCACGGCGCAGCGGGGCAGCCGCACACGUACAACGUGGAGCUCACCGCUAACUUCGGCGGCCAGGUCCGGACCCGCAGGAUGGGGAACCAAGCGGCUACAGCCCCGCAGUUCAGUCAGCAGCAGCCGGUCGGUCGGCAGAGCGAGCAGGCGCAGAGACAGCAGAAGCAGCUCAUGAAGCUGUCUGGGGUGAACGUCUGUGGAGGGCAGUGCUGUCAUGGAUGGAGUGCAGCUCAGGGAUCGCAGCGGUGCACAAAGCGUAAGUGUACAGUACAUUUCUAAACACAUCAGCGUUGUGGAAUAUAUUAUAAAACAUAUUCGCUGUUGCAAAUUAGUAAAUGUAAUUUUGGCUCCUUGUGUGUAUUUAAAAAAAUACAAAAUGAAAGCUGGCACAUGGACAAUUGUUAAGUCUGCUUUAUUCAAUACCUGUCAGUUUUUGGGGCUUUAUAUCUUUGUUAUCUCAUGUCAUUUUCCACAGAAUACAUAAAGGACUGUGCAUAUCAGUUUCAAAGCUGUUCCAACUACUUACACAAUUUGUUCUUACAUACAACAGUUUUAUAAUUGAGAAAAUAUCAAGUAUUUUUUUGUGUGUGCAUAUGCAUAAGUUAAGAGCAAAUCUGUGCAAACAUCCAUUUCAUGAAUGAGGCCCAGUGUCUGGACAGUUUUUAAUACCGUCUGACUGGAAAGAGCACGCGUCUCAGAGUGAAAGAGAAACAGAUUUGAAAUGGAUUGUACCUCUUGGCUCAGGCCCAUUGGUCAGAUCACUUUCUUGUUUGCAAGGUCUUGCCAACUUGUUAUUUAAGAAGUAAACAGGUUUUCUCCAGUGCUGUGCUCUGUUGGAGUGUCUAGAGGGAAAGACUGCUGAAGUUUUCUGGAGAGCACCAGGAGUCCCCCAUGUUUCUGUGCUCAAUAGAUCAGAUAGUCUGGCUCUGACAAGGGCUGUCACAAUCGUUCCAUUUUAGUUCAAGGAUUCAAGGAUCAUUUAUCGUCAUUAUGCAACACAGGGAUGCACAAUGAAAUGCAGUUGUAGCCCAUUUGCAACACAAGAGAAACAUGACAGACAAAGGAAAACAGUGGUGCGUUCCUGUAGUGUAAUUUUCUUUAUUUGCGUCAUAAGGAAUGUAAACGGCAGCAAUAAAAACAAUUCUCUGGGCAGAUAAUAUGGCCGACAUCUUCACAUUUAUAAAUGAGGACAUGAGGAAAACCUUGUCAAUCAACUCUGACUGUGUUUGAGCACCAAGCAUCAUGAUAAACACAGAGUCCACCUCCUCUGGUCCCACCAGAGUCCUGCUCUCUGUUCUGUUGUCUGCCCAGGUCUUUGUAAAGAUGUGGGCUCAAUAGUCACUGGCCUCCCGUCGCUGGGUUAGCCAGAAGUCUUAUUUCAUCCAUCCUAUUUUCCUAUGACCGAACCUCAGACUGCUACAAGUAGGCUGGGUAGUGGAGUGCCUCAGGUCCUAGCUGGGUUAGCUUAGCUUCCAUCAAGGCUCUCCUCCCUCACCUCCCUGCGGCAGUUCGGUGGCGUUUGGUCCGGCAUGUCUGGCUAGGUGGUCGGCCGUGGGCGUCUCGAGGGCCGCUGCACCUUUUCCAAUGCUGAGUGUAUUCUGUCAUAUGCCAUAAGUACUCCAGAAAUAAACACAAAUUUCAUCAAAUUAAGACAAAAAAAUGUAAUGAAAUUCAUGGGAGCUACCGGCCACAGCAUGUACAUGCGCCACUGCUACCAUAGAAAACAUGUAAUUGUCUUUUUCUGUUCAUUGCAUGCCUAUAUUAUAGUCUAAGCCUGAUAACCUAAUAAUAGUGGAACAAUACUAUUACAACUUAUAAAAUCAAAGAAAAACUAAAAAGUGCCCAAAGUGGUGCAGUGAUUGUUGGCAAAGGAGUGUCAAUUAGUCUAAUAGUGUGUUCUGAAACAAUGUUUCACCUGUCACUCUGCUACACAAGUUUAUUUAAAAAACAUCUUCUACAACUGUUGUAGACCAAACUAAUGCAAAAAAUAAGUUUUUUGUUGCAUCAGGAGGACAGUUAAGUAAUGUAGACGGAUAUACGCUUCAUUUUAUUUUCAAAAGUUCAUAUCCACAAGGGAUGUUUCCAUCCAAGCAUUUUUUAGAGAAUGAUCUAAUUAGAAAAGCUGGAUGGAAGAGACAAAAUUCAACAGAAUUUCAGCAGUACAGCUUAAAAGGUUUGACACUCGCUGUCUGAGCAGCAUGCAUGGGAAUCAAUUACAUCAUGAUAAGAGCCUGAUUGAGUUAGCUGAUUAGCUGAAUGUUGGUCCUCCUUAUUCUGGACUUUUGACAGUUCAGCUGAAAACCGUCCGGUUUUGAUCUAUAUAUAAGUGGAUUGUGCAAGACAGUGAAGAAGUUCAAAUAUCUUCUUCUCCUUAGGGAUCUCCUGCAGUUUCAAGAUGGUUUCCUAUUAGUCAAAGGUGCAAAUUCUAAAUUUCACGAACGGGACUCGAUGACAAAGGUUAGAAAUGGAGCACAAAAUUGACUGCCGGAUUGGUGUCAUGUCAGUAGUCAUGUUAAUGCUCUACCAGACAGUCAUGGUGAGGAAGCUGUGAAUUCACUGAUAUUUCAGUAAAUUCCAACCAUCACCUAUGGUCAUGAGCUGUGAAUGAUGAUGAAAUAAUGUGAUCAUGGAUACAAGCGACUUAAAUGAGUAUUCUUUGCAGGGUGUCUGAGCUCACUCAUAGAGAAAGGGGGAGGAGCUUAAGUAGAAUAACUCCAUGUUGAUCACCAUAACUGGUUCCAUUUGACAAACAGCAGACCCACAACACACUGGCGCUUUCACAUAUACAAUCUGGCCUGGAGCAAGUUGGGAUCCUCCAAUAAGGGCUAGUACAUGUGUCUCUGUCCUACCUUGAUUAGCCUCCUGCCACAGCCACCCAUACCAAAGUCUGACUCAUCGGAUGUAGUGUGUGGAUAUAAGCAUGCUAUUGGCCGCGUGCCUCAUACAUCAUUCUUCUCCCCUUCUGCUACUAUUUUGAAAGGUUACCGUAUGUGCAUCCUGUACUUGGUGCCGCCCAAAACGAUUGUGGUUGGUUGGUUGGUUCAUAAAAUAUUUGGGUUGAUGGCCAGCAGGACAAUUAAAGUACAAUUAACGGCACAGCAAGACACAUUAUGGCUAAUAUUGCACUAGAAAUUCUUCCAGUUCCCACAACAGUUGUCCAAAACCCAUUUCUUGUACCAAGCAAAAAAAUGAUGAUCACAAUUAUUUUGGUCAAUAUUGACAUCACGAUUAUUUAACAUGAUUACUCAUUGACAUUUAUAGAAAGAUGUAUAUAUUUUAAAGUAAAAAUGUAUCAAUCUAGGUGCACACACAAAAUGUAGAGGCUAGAUGAGUAACAAUUUUACCGGCUGGCUUCCAUUGCUGCAUGAGUAGUUUUAUUAUGGUAAUGAUGACCUCUGAGGACAGUGUUACCAUGGGUUUGCACUCAGAGCAAAGGGAGGAGUGAGUGGAGUGUACCGCUAGAUGCCACUAAAAGUUACACUCUGUCCCUUUAAUGGCCGCUAAUAACUAAAGUAUUAAGUAAACAACAAUAUUAGAUCAUCCUUAUGUUGACAUUAAGAGGGGACCAGACUGCAUUCUGUUGAGGUUAUGUUCUAUGUUUGGACUUUUAUUAAUUUCUAUUAUCAUAAAUGUCAGUGUGAUUAUUUAAAUGAGGUUUUCUUAUACCUUUAAUUACAUUCUAAUGUUUUCCUAACCUUUUAAUACACAAUGGAUGUGUAUAAUGUUUAAGAGGACUUUAAAAGAAGGUCACAGACUUGUUCAGACUUGUUGUUGCUGCAGAAGUCAAACUCUUAACUUCAUGUUAUUAAUGUCGGUCAGUCAGAAUGUUCCUGUCCACAAAUGAGAUAGAAAUGGACAAAGAUGGAUGUUUAGUCAUUGCUGUACGUAGAGAAGAAGUUUCUUUUAUUUGCUUCGUUCUUGGCAGCCGUAGUUAACAACAUGUGAUUCAUCUGAGAAAUGAUCAGGAGACAUUCCAGUUCCUCCUCCAAACUGGAUGAAGUCAAAUGUCGGCGUAUUAUUGAAUUGCAGGGCAGAACGGCACUUUGUCGAAUUCACCCAAAGUGAACACAUCAUGGUUAUCUCGCAGACAAAACCUCUUUGUAACUUUGUGGAAUCGCUCGGUUUACUUUCCUGAAGGAAGGAAGCCUAAAUGUAAGAGACACAUGAUGGUGUACGGACCACAGCUUCCUAUGUAACUGGGUAUAUGUUAACUUAAAUAAUAAAAUAGAGGGAUUAUAUGGAUUGGUAUCAAACACAGAUCAUAAUCUACUGCAGACUGAGCAGGCUAUGUGUUGCAGCCUUGCUCUACAUUACCACAGCCUUCAGUGCAGCAGUUAACUGCACAUGACAGUGCAGAGUGCGAGUAACUCAGAGUUCUGAAAUCAGGUUGGCAAAAUAUACAGACAGUGUUGCAGCUGGUCUUGUUUGUUAGUGCUGGAGAUCAUGACGCCACAUGUACAUCUAAUAGGGGUGCUGCCGUACCCCCCCCCCCCAUAAGAAAGAAAGACAUUUCUCCAUGUGGGUUAGCUACAAGAAAACCUUCCAACUUGCUGAAAGUGGUUUUCUGCUAAUUACUCAGUGGUCCAUUAUAGCUCAUUAUUGUAUCCAUCAGCAGCACUGACACUGGAGGGCUGUGUGCUGAAUGCAAGUGUUAUAAAGUGAAAGGGGAGUCACAAUGACUGUUCAGCUAUGUGCCUGACAUCUCAGUUCACAGGGCAGUGGGGGAGUCAAGUCGAUUAAGACGUGACUGUCGCUGGGUAUUGUGUCUGGAUGAUGUCCACAUUCACCCCUAUUAACCACCUGCUGCACAUACGAGCUCGCUGAAUGAGUUAUCCAACAGUGGAAUGAUUUCCUUCUGCAGGAGCUAAUGGCCCGCAGCAGGUAGUAACGUCCCCCAGUAUUCUCCAGCAUUGGUCAUCUCAUUGUCAACAGGAGAGGCUGAUUAUCCGUGAUAAGAUCUGUUGUUGUUUCCUCAGUCUCUUUUUAAUGGCUUUCCUUUACGGUAAGAAUAGGGUACACUGGAAGAUAGGAAAAGGCUGCUUGCAGAGAAAUGCAAAGAAUGCCUGUGUUAAAGACAGCGGAUACAGAGAUUUAACACACCUGGAGGCUAUGACACAACAAGGAAAUACAAAAAAUAUGUGAGGAAGUCAACAGCAGCUGGCCAGUAUGAUGUCAUAAAUCAAGUUUUCCUGUCAAGAAACAAAUAUGAGUGAAGAGUUGUCACAGACAGAAUUAUGACUAACCUGAUAUUCAGACUGAAUUGACUUUUUCUUUCUUGAUAUUCAGCCUGACAUCAUGUUCAUGUUAGUCAGUUCCUGUUUGGAACUAUGUUUUUAUUAAAUUCUAGUUCUAGUAGUUUUACCAAUCAGUAGUGAGUAACAUGUCACGUCAACAUCAUCUCCAUGGACAGUUCAUGUUCAAAGAACCAAGCUGAUUUAAGAUUCGUUAUUUCUGGAGGUUGACAACUGUGUGUCAUCAACACUUUUGUGUAUCACAUGUUUCUUGUUACUUUUCAUGGAUGUAGCUGUAUAGCUAGCUAGCUACUGUAUGUAGGUAGAUGACGUCCCUAAUCUUAAAGAAACAGUGAAAUAAAAAAAAGUUUGUGUUCUUAUCCUUGAAAAUCUGCCUUUUCUUAUUCUCUAAAAUGGUAAAAUAUUUUCAAUGACUCAUCUUAAAUUCAGGAGCAUAAACAUUAAUGUAACCAAUGAACUAUGAUCGGGACAAUAAGGUGACCUCAUCCAUCAUAUACUGUAUAACUUGACUGUGGGUUGAAGGGUAGCAAUAUUAUAGGAGGAGGUGUGUGUUUUAAAUUGAGUUGGCACAUUUCCAAAAGAGGGUGGUUGAGGUCUAAUUUAUUCAUUUCUACCUCCUUCUCCUGAUCUACAUUAUUUUGUGCUGGCGGAAGCUGGUUUGUUUACAACCCAAUGAAUGCUUGACUUGUCGUUGUUGCCUUGUUUGACCUUAUUUUUUACAAUGAAUCCGCAUUUCAAGGUGUCAGUAAUUACUAUGGUGAGCAUGGCGUUAUCAUAUCUGAUAGAACUGAUGAAAACAUUGUAAUAAACCAUAAUUUUCCUUUACUGGAAACUUGAAGGUGACUGAGUACAUACACAUUGCACAGAAGGCAGUAGGUGGGAGUUGGGUUGGGGGGCUCAGGAAGGUGCCAAAAGCAAACUUUUGCUCUGGGGACCUUUAACAGGUUAAACUGGCCAUGUACUCUGGGUAAGACGGCAAACAACAUUCACAAAACUGUUGAAUCCUCCUUGUUAGGUUAGAAUUGUUUUUAUUUGUGUACGUGGUUCUCAAAGUCAAAGUGGAUUCAGUGAAUAGCUAGGAUGUUUAAUAUGAUUGGG